GAUGAACGCUGGCGGCGUGCCUAAUACAUGCAAGUCGAGCGAACAGACGAGGAGCUUGCUCCUCUGACGUUAGCGGCGGACGGGUGAGUAACACGUGGAUAACCUACCUAUAAGACUGGGAUAACUUCGGGAAACCGGAGCUAAUACCGGAUAAUAUAUUGAACCGCAUGGUUCAAUAGUGAAAGACGGUUUUGCUGUCACUUAUAGAUGGAUCCGCGCCGCAUUAGCUAGUUGGUAAGGUAACGGCUUACCAAGGCAACGAUGCGUAGCCGACCUGAGAGGGUGAUAGGCCACACUGGAACGGAGCCACCGCCCAGACUCCUACGGGAGGGAGCAGUAGGGAAUCGUCCGCAGUGGGCGAAAGCCUGACGGAGCAACGCCGCGUGAGUGAGGAAGGGCUUCGGAUCGUAAAACUCUGUUAUUAGGGAAGAACAAAUGUGUAAGUAACUAUGCACGUCUUGACGGUACCUAAUCAGAAAGCCACGGCUAACUACGUG
rnacentral:rRNA from 1 species